CCACUCAUUUAAAGAGUGCGUAAUAGCUCACUGGUCGAGUGAUCCUGCGCCGAAGAUUACCGGGGCUAAAACUUACUACCGAAGCUACGAUAUCAUUUAUGAUAGGUAGGGGAGCUUCCUAUGCAGGCUGAAGCAUGACCGUAAGGACGUGUGGACAGUAUAGGAGUGAGAAUGUUGGCAUGAGUAGCGAGACGUGGGUGAGAAUCCCACGGGCCGUAAACCCAAGGUUUCCAGGGGAAGGUUCGUCCGCCCUGGGUUAGUCGGGACCUAAGCCGAGGCCGAAAGGCGUAGGUGAUGGACAACAGGUUGAGAUUCCUGUACCACCGAUAAUCGUUUGAGAGAUGGAAUGACACAGUAGGAUAAGCUAACCACACUGUUGGUUAUGUGUGGCUAAGUACUGAGGCAGUCAAGGCAGGCAAAUCCGCCAUGAUAAUGCUGGGGUACGAUGGGGAGCGAAAUUAAGUAGCGAAGUAGCUGAUUUCACACUGUCGAGAAAAGUUUCUAUCGAGAUUAAAGGUGCCCGUACCGCAAACCGACACAGGUGGGUGAGGAGAGUAUCCUAAGGCCAGCGAGAGAACUGUUGUUAAGGAACUCGGCAAAAUGACCCCGUAACUUAGGGAGAAGGGGUGCCACGUUAGGGUUAACGCCCGAGGUGGCCGCAGAGAAUAGGCCCAAGCGACUGUUUACCAAAAACACAGGUUUCUGCUAAGUCGCAAGACGAUGUAUAGGAGCUGACGCCUGCCCGGUGCUGGAAGGUUAAGGGGAUCUGUUAGGAUUUAUCCGAAGCAGUGAACUUAAGCCCCAGUAAACGGCGGCC
rnacentral:rRNA from 1 species